GGCGAACGGGUGAGUAACACGUGGGCAACCUGCCCUCAGCUCUGGGAUAACUCCGGGAAACCGGGGCUAAUACCGGAUACGACCUUCCCUCGCAUGGGGGUUGGUGGAAAGUUCUUCGGCUGAGGAUGGGCCCGCGGCCUAUCAGCUUGUUGGUGGGGUGAUGGCCUACCAAGGCGACGACGGGUAGCCGGCCUGAGAGGGCGACCGGCCACACUGGGACUGAGACACGGCCCAGACUCCUACGGGAGGCAGCAGUGGGGAAUAUUGCGCAAUGGGCGAAAGCCUGACGGAGCAAUACCGCGUGAGGGAAGAAGGCUCUUGGGUUGUAAACCUCUUUUCUUAGGGAAGAAAAAAAUGACGGUACCUAAGGAAUAAGCAUCGGCUAACUCCGUGCCAGCAGCCGCGGUAAUACGGAGGAUGCAAGCGUUAUCCGGAAUGAUUGGGCGUAAAG
rnacentral:rRNA from 1 species